rnacentral:ncRNA from 1 species
CCUGUUGUGUGACCAACAGUAGCCUAGGGAGACAUGCGUCGCUGGUAACGGCGGGGUGUGAAGCUCUCCUGACAACGUCCCCCGUAAGGCACGGAUCGACCGCGAGGUCGUCCGUGGAAACUCCGAGCAGUAACGGGGUGGAGGGG